rnacentral:rRNA from 1 species
UAAUACGGAGGAUGCGAGCGUUAUCCGGAUUUAUUGGGUUUAAAGGGUGCGUAGGCGGUUGUAUAAGUCAGCGGUGAAAUUUUCCGGCUUAACCGGGAGACUGCCGUUGAUACUGUAUAGCUUGAAUACGGUUGCUGUGAGUGGAAUGUGUGGUGUAGCGGUGAAAUGCAUAGAUAUCACACAGAAUAUCGAUUGCGAAGGCAGCUCACAAAGCCGUUAUUGACGCUGAUGCACGAAAGUGUGGGGAUCAAACAGGAUUAGAUACCCUGGUAGUCCACACUGUAAACGAUGAUAACUAGCUGUCGGCGAUACAUAGUCGGUGGUCAUAGCGAAAGCG